UAACUUAGGGAUGAGGGCUCAUUUAAAUUGAUUAAUAUCAAGUAUAAAAGAAGAGACAUAAAAUAGUGUUGUACGACUGUUUAAUUAAAACAAAGCACUUUGCAAAAGAUGAUAAAUCAAUGUAUUAAGUGUGAUAUCUGCCCAAUGCCGUCAGCUUAAUUAUAGAUAUUAAUAAUAGAAAAUUGGUAUCUAUAAAAAUCCCCGGUGAA
rnacentral:rRNA from 1 species